ensembl:lncRNA
UUCAAUCAAUAUCCCACAUACAGAGAUGUGUAAAGUUGAAGAGGAAGGGUAACACUUUAUAAUACCGUUCAGUUAUAAGUCAUUUAUAAAUGAUUAGUUAAUAGAGUGCCGAAGUUAUGACAUCACUUUGUAGGCCAAAACGCGGAAGUGAGUUAGCAUUUUAGCACCUCCGGUUCCCUCGCCCUAAAGUCUAUGGGUUUUUUGAAUGGGUUUUUGCUAAAUCGCCUGAAAUAAGGUCUGUGGUUAACAAAGCCUCUAAAUAUUUUCACGUUUUGAUCUAUGACAUAAAACAAACCAGUUAUAACCUGUUUGUGAUUUUUUAAAACUUUAUUGUGUCUUAAAAACGGUGGUUGCUAACAAGUUGCUAAAAGGGACUACAUCCUUUGGCGGGGACUUUAGACGUCAUCAUGACAAACAUGAAAUCUCUCACUAGCCUGCGUUUCAGCCUCACGUUCUUAGAAGUCUACCUUUCAGUUAAUAUACAUAACGUUAUAUAUAUUAUUAUUAUUAUUAAAUAAAUUAUAUAUUAUAUAUUUAGUCUAAUUGUCGUUUUUCCAAAUAUUGUUGUACACAGAAUUCUGUGAUAUUAAGGUAACCGUUUCCAGUUCUUUAUUUCUGUGGAGAGACUGUAGGUCGAUAAUGGUGUUUUGUUUUGUCCCGAGAUGCAACCACAAGUCGUCGAAUGAAAGAUGCUCGUUUUACCGUUUUCCGUCCGAUGUUACCCAGCGGAGACUCUGGGUUCGUGCCGUAAGACGAGCUGACCGGAAGCCCAGUGUCCAUUCUCGCAUCUGCAGCUGUCAUUUUCCUGCAGGGGAAAAAAAAAUGCCCGUUUUGUUUUUAGUUACCAAACGGAAGUUGUUUUCAGUUUACUUAUUUUAUGAAAAUAAAGAUGUUUACUACAACUCUUGCUGUAAGGUUUCUGUGGCUCAAUUAUUAGAGCAUUUUGUUAACUGUGCAAAAGGUUGCGAGUUCAAUUCCCAGAGAACACGCUGAUAUGUAUAGCCUGAAUACACUGUAUGUCGCCUGUCUGACAAAUACCAAAAAUUAAAUGUUAAACCAGUGCUUCCCAAACCUGUCCUGGAGGACCCCCUGCCCUGCACCUUUUGUAUGUCUUCCUUAUCUAACACACCUGAUUCCACUCAUCAGACCAAAUUGGGCGUGUCUGAUUAGGGAGACAUACAAAAUGUGCAGAGCAGGCAGUCCUCCAGGACAGGUUUGGGAACCACUGUGUUAAACUAUUCUAACUACACUCCAGUCAGCUCACAGUAAUGUGAAUGUGAGAUAAAAUUUACUACACUGGCUCUCACAUUGGGGCUUGUGGAUUACCAGGUAA